UGAUGACGAGACGCUAAGGCGUUGAAGCAGUGUAUGUCAGACUUCCAAGAAAAGCUCGCAAUGUCACAAAUAAAUAAUGCCUGUACCAUAACCGACACAGGUGGGUAGGUAGAGUAUACUAAGGGGCGCGAGAUAACUCUCUCUAAGGAACUCGGCAAAAUGACUCCGUAACUUCGGGAGAAGGAGUGCCUUAUUUAUAAGGUUGCAAUAACAAGAUCCAAGCAACUGUUUAUCAAAAACACAGGUCUCCGCUAAGUCGUAAGACGAUGUAUGGGGGCUGACGCCUGCCCAGUGCCAGAAGGUUAAAGAAGUUGGUUAGUGUAUGCGAAGCUGAUGACUGAAGCCCUGGUGAACGGCGGCCGUAACAAUAACGGUCCUAAGGUAGCGAAAUUCCUUGUCGGGUAAGUUCCGACCCGCACGAAAGGCGUAAUGAUUUGGAUACUGUCUCGGAGAGAGGCUCGGUGAAAUAGACUUGUCUGUGAAGAUGCGGACUACCUGCACCAGGACAGAAAGACCCUAUGAAGCUUUACUGUAACUUGAAAUUGGAAUUGGACUUUGCUUGCGCAGUAUAGGUGGGAAGCGUUGAAAAUAUUCUUGCGGGAGUAUUGGAGCUAUCAGUGAGAUACCACUCUUGUAAUGUUAGAUUUCUAACUUUGAACCAUAAUCUGGUCAAAGAACAGUUUCAGGUGGGCAGUUUGACUGGGGCGGUCGCCUCCCAAAUGGUAACGGAGGCGUACAAAGGUUUCCUCUGAACGGAUAGAAAUCGUAUCUAGAGUGUAAAGGCAUAAGGAAGCUUGACUGUGAGACCUACAAGUCGAGCAGGGACGAAAGUCGGUCUUAGUGAUCUGACGGUACUGAGUGGAAAGGCCGUCACUCAACGGAUAAAAGUUACUCUAGGAUAACAGGCUGAUCUCCCCCAAGAGUUCACAUCGACGGGGAGGUUUGGCACCUCGAUGUCGGCUCAUCGCAUCCUGGGGCGGUAGUACGUCCCAAGGGUUGGGCUGUUCGCCCAUGAAAGCGGUACGCGAGCUGGGUUCAGAACGUCGUGAGACAGUUCGGUCCAUAUCCGGUGUAGGCGCUAGAAUAUUGAGAGGAGCCUUCUUUAGUACGAGAGGACCGAGAAGGACACACCGCUGGUGUACCAGUUAUCGUGCCAACGGUAAACGCUGGGUAGCUAUGUGUGGAGUGGAUAACCGCUGAAAGCAUCUAAGUGGGAAGCCCACCUCGAGAUGAG
rnacentral:rRNA from 1 species